rnacentral:rRNA from 1 species
UUCCGGUUGAUCCUGCCGGAGGCCAUUGCUAUCGGAGUCCGAUUUAGCCAUGCUAGUUGUGCGGGUUUAGACCCGCAGCGGAAAGCUCAGUAACACGUGGCCAAGCUACCCUGUGGACGGGAAUACUCUCGGGAAACUGAGGCUAAUCCCCGAUAACGCUUUGCUCCUGGAAGGGGCAAAGCCGGAAACGCUCCGGCGCCACAGGAUGCGGCUGCGGUCGAUUAGGUAGACGGUGGGGUAACGGCCCACCGUGCCCAUAAUCGGUACGGGUUGUGAGAGCAAGAGCCCGGAGACGGAAUCUGAGACAAGAUUCCGGGCCCUACGGGGCGCAGCAGGCGCGAAACCUUUACACUGUACGAAAGUGCGAUAAGGGGACUCCGAGUGUGAAGGCAUAGAGCCUUCACUUUUGUACACCGUAAGGUGGUGCACGAAUAAGGACUGGGCAAGACCGGUGCCAGCCGCCGCGGUAAUACCGGCAGUCCGAGUGAUGGCCGAUCUUAUUGGGCCUAAAGCGUCCGUAGCUGCUGAACAAGUCCGUUGGGAAAUCUGUCCGCUUAACGGGCAGGCGUCCAGCGGAAACUGUUCAGCUUGGGACCGGAAGACCUGAGGGGUACGUCUGGGGUAGGAGUGAAAUCCUGUAAUCCUGGACGGACCGCCGGUGGCGAAAGCGCCUCAGGAGAACGGAUCCGACAGUGAGGGACGAAAGCUAGGGUCUCGAACCGGAUUAGAUACCCGGGUAGUCCUAGCUGUAAACGAUGUCCGCUAGGUGUGGCGCAGGCUACGAGCCUGCGCUGUGCCGUAGGGAAGCCGAGAAGCGGACCGCCUGGGAAGUACGUCUGCAAGGAUGAAACUUAAAGGAAUUGGCGGGGGAGCACUACAACCGGAGGAGCCUGCGGAUUAAUUGGAUUCAACGCCGG